rnacentral:rRNA from 1 species
UACGUAGGGUGCGAGCGUUGUCCGGAAUUAUUGGGCGUAAAGAGCUCGUAGGCGGCUUGUCGCGUCGACCGUGAAAACUUGGGGCUCAACCCCAAGCCUGCGGUCGAUACGGGCAGACUAGAGUUCGGUAGGGGAGUCUGGAAUUCCUGGUGUAGCGGUGAAAUGCGCAGAUAUCAGGAGGAACACCGGUGGCGAAGGCGGCAUUCUGGACCGGCAUUGACGCUGAUGCGCGAAAGCCAGGGGAGCAAACGGG